UUCGCCAAACUCAACCGGUUCUGCCAAACGAAACGCAUCUUCGCUCAAAUUAAACAACAGCGCAAAUCGUCGCUUUUUAACAUCUUCAAGUUCCACUGCUUCGAAGUACAAAUUACAUUUCUUGAUGAACAAAUCAAAGUCUUCGCCAAUUUUAAACUUGUCGGGCCUUCGAAACAAUGACAAAGAUAACUUAUUCGUCUCAACAUUCGGUGCUUCUGCUUGCUCAGGUUCGACCGCCAUGUUUGCACGAUACAAAACACACUCGAAAAAACAAGUCAAAAUGUCACAUCAUUUCCACAAGUUUGGUCUCGGUGGGACCUCCAAAAUUGUCACGAAGCACUACUGGACUAAGAUAAUACCAAAACUCUUUAAUUAUUUCUUUAAUUACAAUACUCAACAACGAUUAAUCUCCACGAAAUACA
rnacentral:lncRNA from 1 species